rnacentral:lncRNA from 1 species
UGAAUGUCUGAAUCAGACACCAGUCGGGUGGCUCCAACCACUGCAUCUAUUUCAGAUUGGGCUUUGGAUUGAAUAUCGGGGUGUAAAACCAUUCUUGCAAGAAUCCACUCCAACAGAAUUGCCACCGUGUCAGUCCCUCUAAAGAUCAUUUCCUGAGAUUGCAACAUAUUUCCAAUUACACAAACGUGUGAAGAUUAAAUAAAACACGAUGAUAAUAAAGAAAAAGUCAAGGAAAAGAAAUGCAUCACCAUGACAAAGCAUAAAUUGUAAAGCAUAAGAAACAAAGACAGGAAAGAAAGAAAAGAAAGAAAAUGAAUCUUAUCACGGUGAAAAGAGAAACUAUUCAGAUUCUCAAUAUCUAUGGAUGCCCAAAAAAACAAACUUAAAGAAAAGACCUGGCUAUUUCAAGCAUCAAUGUAACAGUAACAAAGAGGGAAAAUGCAUAAAAAGGCUAAAAACUAAAACAUGAAAAACCUAGUGAAUGCAACCACAAAAAAAAGGUCUAAUGAGAAAAAAAAACCUUUGUCAAGAUGUGCUGGGGAAGCACACCAAGAACAGAAAAUGAACAUAUUUCUACAGUAGGUGAUGAACCUGACAAUAGAAUGUUUGAAGGCGCUUACCCAUAAAACAGCAAUCAUAUCAGAGUCGCUGAGCCUGCUUUCCUUUUCCAAAUCGAGUAAGACGUCAACAAAAUCGCCUGAACUGUCAUCACCAUCACGACCCACUUCUCCAUCACCAACCCUCCUGAGCCUGUGCUCAUCUAUGAUCCUGGAAACAAAAACGUUCACCUUCGAAACCAACUUUUUGCAUCUCUUUCUCACUCCUUGCAAGUCCAACCACCCGAGAAGCGGUAAGUGGUCACUCCAGUUGAAUAUACCAAGCAGUUCGUACCCUUCACUCACCAGGCUCUCAAGCUCAACCGCAUCACCAGAAACACCUUUUCCAAAGUCGUAGCUCCUUCCAAACACGCUCAUCAUCACAUUGUUCAAAGACCCAAAAUGCAACACUUUCUUCACCUUCACCUCACCUUUCUUCUCCAUCAAAACCCUAAUCUCAUCCACCAUUUUCAACCCAAUAGUCCUCCGAAACUCCCCGAAACCAGCGAUUCUCCUCGGACUGAACAAAUGGGUGGCCGAAAUCCUCCUCAGAUUUCUCCAGUACACCCCGAACGGAGCAAAACCCAUUGCUCGGUGGAAUAAAAGCUCAUAAGCCGACUCCUUCACUGGUCGGUCCGCGAACGCCGAACUGUUCAGAAUCUCCUUGGCUGUUUCCGGUUGGCUGGAGAUAAUGAAACGAGUAAAGCCAACCGAAAAAGCCAUCAAUGGCGCAGCUUCAGAAACACGAGCCAGCUUGGCCAGAACCCUAUGAGUCAGAGAGCCAGUGAAGGCGAAAACAAGACCUAUCAGAGGUAACCCAGAAGGGCCAGGAAUGGCGCUACGUGCUUUAGCCUUGGACAUAGCCCAAGCUAAACCACCAGGCACAAGCCAGAAACCAAAGACGCCAACGAACAAAACCACACACAAGAACAGUUCCAAACUUAGAACUGGCGAGGACCCAGUUCCCGGAACGAACGAAAAGUAGUUUUCCGACGACAUUUUCACAAGGUAGAGCCGUAGAGCUCCCCGGGAGAGACACCAAGGGAAGAGGAUAGAGAAACGAAAGAG